CCUGGCUCAGGAUGAACGCUGGCGGCGUGCUUAACACAUGCAAGUCGAACGAUGAACCUCACUUGUGGGGGGAUUAGUGGCGAACGGGUGAGUAACACGUGAGUAACCUGCCCUUGACUCUGGGAUAAGCCUGGGAAACUGGGUCUAAUACCGGAUAUGACCUUCCAUCGCAUGGUGGUUGGUGGAAAGCUUUUGCGGUUUUGGAUGGACUCGCGGCCUAUCAGCUUGUUGGUGGGGUAAUGGCCUACCAAGGCGACGACGGGUAGCCGGCCUGAGAGGGUGACCGGCCACACUGGGACUGAGACACGGCCCAGACUCCUACGGGAGGCAGCAGUGGGGAAUAUUGCACAAUGGGCGCAAGCCUGAUGCAGCGACGCCGCGUGAGGGAUGACGGCCUUCGGGUUGUAAACCUCUUUCAGUAGGGAAGAAGCGUAAGU
rnacentral:rRNA from 1 species